AACGCGAAGAACCUUACCUGCCCUUGACAUCCGGAUGACCGGCAAGUAAUGUUGCCCUCUCUUCGGAGCAUCCGAGACAGGUGGUGCAUGGUUGUCGUCAGCUCGUGUCGUGAGAUGUUGGGUUAAGUCCCGCAACGAGCGCAACCCUUAUCUUCAGUAGCCAGCGGUAAGGCCGGGCACUCUGGAGAGACUGCCAGGGAUAACCUGGAGGAAGGUGGGGAUGACGUCAAAUCAUCAUGCCCCUUAUGGGCAGGGCUACACACGUGCUACAAUGGCGUAAACAAAGGGAAGCAAUCGCGCGAGCGUGAGCAAAUCUCAAAAAUAACGUCUCAGUUCGGAUUGUAGUCUGCAACUCGACUACGUGAAGCUGGAAUCGCUAGUAAUCGCGAAUCAGAAUGCCACGGUGAAUACGUUCCCGGGUCUUGUACACACCG
rnacentral:rRNA from 1 species